rnacentral:rRNA from 1 species
CAAUAGCGUAUAUUAAAGUUGUUGCAGUUAAAAAGCUCGUAGUUGGAUUUCUGAUCGAGACAUCAGGUCGGGUCCGAGAGGAUCAUGUACUUUGAUUUUGUUUUGAUCAUCCUUGGGGAGAGCAUUUCUGGCAUUCAGUUGUCGGGAUUGGGAUCCUCAUCGUUUACUGUGAAAAAAUUAGAGUGUUCAAAGCAGGCCUCGGCCUCUGAAUACAUUAGCACGGAAUAAUAAGAUAGGACUUUGGUGGUCUAUUUUGUUGGUUUGCACGCCAAAGUAAUGAUUAAUAGGGAUAGUUGGGGGUAUUCGUAUUCAAUUGUCAGAGGUGAAAUUCUUGGAUUUAUGGAAGACGAACUACUGCGAAAGCAUUUACCAAGGAUGUUUUCAUUAA